rnacentral:rRNA from 1 species
GGGCCCGCACAAGCGGUGGAGCAUGUGGUUUAAUUCGAUGAUACGCGAGGAACCUUACCAGGGCUUAAAUGUAGUGGGACAGGUCUAGAGAUAGACCCUUCUUCGGACUCAUUACAAGGUGCUGCAUGGUUGUCGUCAGCUCGUGCCGUGAGGUGUCAGGUUAAGUCCUAUAACGAGCGCAACCCCUAUCGUUAGUUGCCAGCGGGUCAUGCCGGGAACUCUAGCGAAACUGCCGGUGCAAACCGAGAGGAAGGUGGGGAUGACGUCAAAUCAUCACGGCCCUUACGUCCUGGGCCACACACGUGCUACAAUGGCCGGUACAGAGAGCAGCCACUACGCGAGUAGGAGCGAAUCUUCAAAGCCGAUCACAGUUCGGAUCGGAGUCUGCAACUCGACUCCGUGAAGCUGGAAUC